AGGGUCAUUCCACAGUAUUCCGUCUGUUGCGGAGGGGAAAUUUAGAGGUCAACUCGAUAUAAAGUUAAACAAAAUACCAAAACCAGCCAAGAAUGCCCGCAGGUGUGGCCUUUUAUCAACUUCCUGGAGAGGGAGAUCAUUAUAAACGGAACGUAGAGACUGUGUCCUUGUUUGAUCUCAAGCGAACGAAUGGUUGGUGGCCUGCAGUAGGAACGGACGAUGGACAACAAAUACUGGCGGUGAGUCACUCGAUAUGUAACGUAUAUUUGCAUACAUCACUGGGUUUAAUUGCUGGAAGUCACCUUUCACUUAACAAUCUGUCUGAUAUGUGAACAUAGGCGUACGGGCCCUUUCGGACUUGGGGGGGAGAGGGGGGGACCGUGACCAUCUUGCCCGAAAAAUUUACGCAAUUCCGGAAUGCGUGAUUGUUGAAAUAGGCAUGCAAACGCACUCAAAUUGCAUGAAAAACAAAAUCGCUCACAAUUCCUACAUCUGCUAAAGCCGUGUGGCAUGAGAUUUUCGCUUGAGUUUAAUUUCACGGAUUUUGGACUUUUCAGGUUUCGCGGGAAAAAUUUUUCGCGACUUUGGAUUUCAGGCUUUACUCCUGGGAAUAAUUUCAUGUACAGUACUUGAAAGUAGCAAAAACGGAGGCCAUAUGGUCGUUUUCGUUUUCCAGAAUCACGUGUUGGUUGAACACCGUUAGAACGUCACGUUAAAUGUGCGAGUUGUCAAAAAGUGUUGCUUAUUAUUGUUGUAAUUUAUUAUCUUGUGAGCAAUAGCGGGCAAAAAAUUUGUUUUUAUCUUUAAAUUUUCGCAAAAGUUUAGUAAUUACCCUCAUAUCCAUUUGUUUUGAAGUUGAAGGAUGUCACUCAUUUGAAAUACAGUUACACUUUACAGUUACCUGCAAUUAUUCGUUUUUUGCAGGCGGGGGCAAAAUUCGUGCCGGAUCUACUCGGAUCGCUGGUUUAAAUAAGAAUGGCAACCAUUCAAGAACAAGGCAUAUGCAAUACAUGCCAUUUUAUGUAAAUUAGCCAUCCGAGUUGAUCGGGUCCGAGGUUUGUACCUGCCCGUUUUUUACCGUCACCUCCUUGUGGUACUUUGAAAGAGCAUGCAAACGACUCCAUUUCUAAAUGUUCAUCUUCUCUAAGUUAUUCUGUGACCAAGAAACCUGCGAAGUUAACGAUGUUACCAUCGAAUUCGUCCAUAUCGACUUGGCAGAUGGCCUUUGGUGCGAAACUUAAACAAGAGAGCGCCGUGUAGUUAGUGCAUUGACAUGGGUGUUGUAUUGAAACGAUGGCCGCCAACGCGUGGACAUUUGACGUCGAAAAAGGUAAAGACUAGAAUAUGUUUCCUCAACGGUCUCCUUGACAGGGAAUCAACUUAGUUUGCGUCCCUUGUUGAAAGCUGCCCACGAAAAAUAUACUUAUAAACGGUUGUAUGUAUUGAAAAGAUAAUCUUCGAGCGACUUUUUCUGUUUAACAUGUUUAAUUUUAUGCACGACCAGUUUGCAUAAAUUAAUUAGAACAGGACGCCUUUCGCACAAAUGAUUAGAACCAGAAACAUUGGGUUGUUUGGAACCAACCUUUUAAUAACAGAAGUACAUUUAACAAGCUUUUCAAGAGCUAAGUCCUUGAGGGAAGUGUGCACGGUAAGUUAAUUUUUCAUAUGUUCUCCACUUUCUGUAGAGACUCUUAGUAUGAGAAUGACUCGUGAUCUAUGAAGUAUUUGCAGCGUCCAAUAAGCAGCUGUUUAAUAUGUCGAGCUCGUCUUACCACCGGUUCAUCGUGUCAUUUUUUCCUUAAUUAGGUAAGCACGCACGAUUUCAUGAAAACGUUCUUUGAUUGACAUGGACAGACACACAGUAGGAUAGUGGUAUUCUUCAAACCACAGACAGGCAGAUCACCCAACAUCUGACUUUGUCCCUUCAAGCAAACGUACUUCAAGCAUCAGUGGGAUGGGUAAAGUGACGAUCAUCGCAUUGCGAUGAAUCAGAGAAAGACGACUGUUAAGAUAAUGCCGUUCUUUAAGAGGCAGAACUGGUCAGCUGAUAUCAUAAUGCUGGAGAGAGUUUCUCGUGGUUGACAUGGAGAUGAAGACGCAAUGAAAUAAAACCUGUUCCUCAAACAAGAGGAAAAAGGCAAGCAUAGAAUGGGAAAAGCUAGAAAUACACAAAGGAUAUUGGAGUUUGGAAAGAAGGGCAAUUUGAUGACGAGACUAUGACUAAUUGACAAGAUUCCAAGACAAAAUUCAGUUAGUUUUGUGGAGUCAUCAUGCAAGGAAAAGUGGAUUAUAAUAAAAUGACUUUCGACAGAAAAUUGACUGGGAUGUAUGCUGUGCUGAGGGAAAAGUCGGAAAACUGUCUUGGAUUGAUUAAGAAUGUGCGCAUUGAAAGCCAACGAGGAACAAGUCGAAAAUAAUGACCAAGUCUCUUGGCGAGAAAAUUAUUCUAGGUUAAAGAUAUUGUGCUUUUAAAAGGGACCAAAAAAA